UCAAAUCAUACCAUGUUGUCCUGAAUGCUCCCUUGUCACCAGGUGACUGUCUCUUAAAUUCUACCAGCUAAUGUGGUUACUGAAAAAAUACGCCUGAAUCAGGCUGAGGUUAAAGAUCAUCACAGAGCCAGAGGGGAAAGAGAGUUAGGAAAAGAAUGGAGUGUGUGUGUCUGUAGGUUUGUCAAAGGCAGGCAGAGGUGAGGUUAGCUGUUCUGUUUUGCAACUAAGAAAAGGGUUUCCCCUUAAAUCGAGAGGGCUGGCUGACAGGCCAGAUGCCAAGUUCCUUAGGGACCCCCUCCUCUCCCUUGGGUUUAUGCAUCCUGCAAGUAACUGUUACUUCGCGCCCUGGAGCAUACCUGGCAAGCAAGGAUCAACCAGGAGGUGAUCUAGGGUUGUUGGCUUCCAGGCCAGGAAUUCUAAUUUGGAAAAAAUUAGACCCUGGUAGCUAAGAACAUCACCACACUGCAGCAGCUCCUGAAGUCUGACCUGAGAUGCUCUGGUAUGGUGUCUCAGUCCACAGAAAGAUACUGGUGUGCAUCUGCCACCGGGAAAACAUGCACUUCGUUCAUACACUCACCAGUACAUUUAAGAGAUGCUGGGACACUAACAGGGUAGAAGAGCAGAAAGUGUUAGUCUGCCAGCAGGGCUGAGACUCCAAUUCUGUCACUGAGUUCUCUGACCUCAGGACUUGGUUCACUCCUACCUGCGAGUAUUCACAUCAGGUGGAAGCUCCUCUUACGGUGCCCAGUCCAUGGUUUAAGGCAGCAAAAAAAUGACUGAGCUGCACUAAGAGAAACUAAGAUUUCACUGGGCUACUUUGUUAUUUCAAUUAGUGUGAAAACAGCCUAUGGACUUGGAACCAUCUGCUCCAAUCACCUUUAUCUCCAAUAAACUACAUUAAUGUU